AAGACACAGAUAACAAGUUGAUCCUGAGACAAAUGCAGGAUGCAGAUGCUUCUGUGGACCCAGAGACAAAUGUAGAGAGGAGCCCUAUAAAGAGUCUGCAUCUUGUCAGUUCAUUGGAACCCUCUAACAGAGCUUUUCCUGCACGCUCAGAAGUGGGAUCCCGGACGUGUCCGUCGGGACGGAGGACCACGAAGGUUGGCCCCCAGAUCCUGAAGGGACCGGGGUCCGUCGUUCCGAUCGACCGUGACGGGAUCCGUCAAAAGAACCUGGGUGGACUGAAUCCGGUGAGGAGCAUUCCAAUUAUUUUCUUUUCUCGUUUAUUCUUCCUUUGAUUAUUAAUUUGGGUUGUUUGUGUAAAAAAAAAAAAAAAAAAAAAAAAAAAAAA